UCCCGAUUAGCUCAGUCGGUAGAGCGUCAGACUUUUAAAGCUAAGUCUCCGAGCACCAGCUUGGAUUACAUUAAUCUGAAUGUCAGGGGUUCGAGCCCCCUAUUGGGAG
rnacentral:tRNA from 2 species